rnacentral:lncRNA from 1 species
UUUAAUCUGAGUUUUCUUGAUCAAUGAGUAGACUAUAUGAAACAAAUCACUAUUUGAGCAUGACCAUGCAUUUUAUAGUCCUACUCAAUCAAGAGGCCUAUGGAUAUCACCCAUAAUAUAUAGGAUGGUUAAAUUCCAUCUAGAUCACUCAUAUUUCUCACACGAUUCAUGAUGAACCCAAUAAUCACCUUUAUAGUCCACCCUAUUAAAGGUGACAUUUGAUGAUAUCAAAGUACAUAAAUUCUCGUGUAGUAAUAUAGCGAUUU